AUUGAACGCUGGCGGCAUGCCUUACACAUGCAAGUCGAACGGCAGCACGGGUGCUUGCACCUGGUGGCGAGUGGCGAACGGGUGAGUAAUACAUCGGAACAUGUCCUGUAGUUGGGGAUAGCCCGGCGAAAGCCGGAUUAAUACCGCAUACGAUCUACGGAUGAAAGCGGGGGACCUUCGGGCCUCGCGCUAUAGGGUUGGCCGAUGGCUGAUUAGCUAGUUGGUGGGGUAAAGGCCUACCAAGGCGACGAUCAGUAGCUGGUCUGAGAGGACGACCAGCCACACUGGGACUGAGACACGGCCCAGACUCCUACGGGAGGCAGCAGUGGGGAAUUUUGGACAAUGGGCGAAAGCCUGAUCCAGCAAUGCCGCGUGUGUGAAGAAGGCCUUCGGGUUGUAAAGCACUUUUGUCCGGAAAGAAAUCCUUGGCCCUAAUACGGUCGGGGGAUGACGGUACCGGAAGAAUAAGCACCGGCUAACUACGUG
rnacentral:rRNA from 1 species